rnacentral:lncRNA from 1 species
UUUGACUUGGCUAUGAGAGUCCGUUUUAUUAACUUACUAAAACCCUAUUUUAUCGUAAAUCGCCACCUUCUCCGUAAAAGAAUACUAGAAGCAAACUGAAAUUAAGUAUAACAGCUAUCUGAACUUAGAAAAGAGACUACAAAGGCUAAAGCCUACCACCCCUUUUCACUUGGAUCAUAUUAACUCACUUCUAUAAUACUGAUGUCACUUUGAGAUCCAUCAGAUUUCAUAAUGCUUCACUCUAAAUUCAAAAGUUCUAAUCUAAACUAAUGAUGGUGACCACGCAUCAAAUAUUUUUGGAAGGCCUGAAAGGACUGGUA